CAUUAUUAUUAGACUUUUUGUAAAUUUGGCAUGAAUUGUGCAAGUGAAUCUUGACUAAUGAAGAGAAUGUAGAUAAACCAAUGAUAAACCAUUUCUCUGAAAUAGCUCAAAGGUUCAUCUCAUGACUCUUCAGUUGGAAAGCAUACACUGUAUAGACAGACACAAGAGUUACACAGUGGACUUAUCUUUUUAUUUUCAUCUUUGUGCCCAUAUUUCUUUUUUCCUUCUCUAUAUCACAAUGACAUUUUAAAGGUUUUUUUUGUUUGUUUGUUUUUUUUUUUGGUCAGACCACUAGUAAAAGUGUAACUAGGAAUUCUAUCCAGUCUCUUUCAAUCAAUAUCCCACAUAAUGUGUAAAUUUGUACUUUUGAAAUGGAUAUAUGGCAUACAUAAGCAUAUGGCAUAAUGUUCAAUACAGUAACUGUCAUCCAAAAUGUUGCCAUAGUUUACAUCAGAACAUCCCUCCAGAGUAUACUGUUAUAUUGACAACAUGACUAAGCAAUUUGACUGUCUUAUCCGUACACAGUGACACAAGGACUUGUCAUUCUUAUGGCACUGACAUGUUCAUUGACACAGAUAUUUAUUUUUGAGAGAUGAACUAAGGAUUUUGAGUAAGAGACUGGCUUUUGCAGGUAAUCCAUGGUGUUUUGCUAUUUGUACGAGUUGUUUUGAGAAAUGCCUAAAAGUGUAGAUAUCAGAAGAGACUAGACAGACAGACUAAACAGCAGACAAUUUGGACAUGUCCGCUUCAGAGGAAGAGUGUCCUGUAUGCAGGGAACACAUACAGAAUCCUUCUCAACCAUCUCCAUGCUGUGGAAAAGUAAUUUGCCAGCGAUGCCUCAGUCAGUCUUUUCGAUACAGGGCUCAUUGUCCACACUGCAGAAGCUCAGUAGACAACCGUGAUUAUGCAAAUAAUCCAUUCCUACCUCCUGGUAGGAGGAGGCACCUGCGCCCAAUCCUGCCAGGGGAUUUUCAAACAUUUAAUUCAAGAAGAGCUGUUGGUGCAAACAUACAGAAUCUCCUUGGCCAACUUCGAGAUUCACUGCAGACACUGCUGCUCAAGCCAGUCCACCCAAUCAGGCUGCAGUGCCACCUACCCCACAGAAUCAAGCCCCUUCCCCUUUAAUUUCCUCUGCACGGCCUGUUCCUAUGCCUCGGAUCAGAGCUCCACUUGCAAAUGUAAUUGCUGCCCCACAACCUGCCCCCAUUACUGCUGCCCCGAGUGGUCUUAUCCAAGCCCUCCAGCCCCCUGCCCCAGUUCCACUGCCCCUAAACCCCGCCCCGUCCCAGGAUGAUGUGCAGGCUGCAAUGGAUGAAUGGCCAUGGCAAACGGAGAUCACUCUAAUGGAGAUGAAUCCACAAACUCAGGGGUGAGGACAUCUCUUUUUAAUAAAAGCUUGCGGAAAACUCCUUUUAAUUAACACGUUUGGUUAUUCCAGGAAUUCAACAAAUCCUAAUCAUAAGGCACACAAUGACGGGGGUUUUUAAUCUUUUAGAUGCCACAGAUCCCCACAGGAUCAUUCUUAGGACUCCCAUCCUAAAAUUUAAAAGGCAGCUAAAAUAUCAGCUAUAUAUUUUCAUAUGUAUAUAGCAAUUAUAUAUAAUAUAUCCAAUCCAAAUACUUUCAUACUUGUUUACUUUAAUCAUUUUUAUUAUUUAUUUUAAUAUAUUUGUAUUUACUUUUUAACUUCAUUAUUUCAUUAUUUAUUUAGUUUAAUCUUCUAAUAUUUAUUUAUUUCAGUAUUCAUUUUUUUAAUUAUUUAUUUAUUUGUUUUUCUCUAAAGUUUACACGGAUCCCUUAUUACCCCCAUAGCAUUCCCCUGAAAAACCCUGUUCUUGAUGACUGUACAUGGACAACAGCUUGGAAAACCCCUUACUGUGCACAAAGUGAAAAUGAAAAUUAUAUUAUUUUACUACAUCUCUUGCUAAAUUGAUGCUUACAACACUUUCAUCUGAUUUUUCUUGUCCAAAAUAUAGUGUACAUUCCCAUGAUAUAAUGUACCAUUUACACAAUCCAAAAAUUAGGCUAUUUCAAAAUAGUAUUUAUUUAUUUUGGCAUAUCUUUUUAGAAAGAUAAUCAAUGAGAUCAUUAUUUAAAAAUAAAGGUACUUUAUUGGCAUCUAUGCUACAUGCAGAACCUUCAAAAUUCCAUUGCACAAAAGGUUCUUUAUAGUGAAAAAAGGGUUCUUCAGAUUAUUUGAGGAACCCAAAAUGAUUCUAAAAUGAUUUCUCAUUUUAGAACCUUGAUUUUUAGCAUUUUGCAUCAAACUUUUCCCCAAUAAAUGUAUUCACACACGUCAGUGUUUAACUGCAAUCCUUUAUUUCUAUGAACCCCAGAAUCUCAACCAGACUGAUGAGAUGAACAUUCAGUGUGCAGUUCUAGCAUCAUAUAGAGACAAUUUUUAGACCUCAUUUUUAGAAAGAUGACAACACAGUUUUCAGGUGUUUUUCUGGACAACAUCUUAAAAAAAAUGCUUGGGAAGAAGAUUCUGAACCACAAGGACAUAAACAAUUGAGAAAUCAGUCAAAAAAAAUGGUAUAUCGAGGAUGCGACAUUAAAGUAAUUUACCAAUGUUAUGUAAAAUGUAAUUUGUGUAUACGUUGAAAUGCUUUUAGGGCAACAUAAAAUGCUUGAUUAUUUAAUUAUGAGAUAUUUUAAGAGGAAAUGCAUUUUAAUAUACUAUCUGAUGCAUCUCAGGUAUUGAUAAUGCCUUUAAAAUUACUAGUAAUGGUUUAUCUGCCAAAAACUUUUUUGUACAAUUUAUCUCUUCUUGCACUUUCUUUCUUCAAGAUAACAGAUUUAUUGCAUGUACUGUACACUUAUGUUUGUGAUAUUGUUUGUGGGAUUUACUUUGUGGGGAAAAUAUUUGAAUGAAUGGGUCAAGUUGAAUCAGGCUCUGUAAAUCUAUUUAUGCUCCACUUCAAUGUAAACAAAAAAACAAAAAAACAAAAAAAAAACAAAGUGCAAUAAAUGUUUUAAUACAAUAAUCUACAGUGAAAAAUUACAGACUGCAGAAAAUGUGUUCACCCAACAAUGAAAAUAUACUGAAAAUUGACUCACCAAGAUACAAUAGAUGAGUUUUAUUUCUUCAUCUGAACAGAUUUGGAGAAAUUUAGCAUUACAUCACUUGCUCUAAAGUGUUUCUCUUUAUCACACGCUCUCUUUAUCACACGCUCCUACAGAUGCUCUGAUUGUCUGAACCUUACAAGAAUAAACCUUCUAUUUUCUUAAUCUACAAUACUCUCUGAGUUAUUGCCUCACAUUCAGAGUUGGAAACAUUUUUCUACCACAUCUCUGGCAAUGAUGAGAUUCCGUGAUUGACAUACCUGAGUCUAGUGCUCAGAUUUGGAAGAUAAUCUGGGCCCCUUAUGACUGGUGGAGACACUGUGCACUUUUCAAGAGGUCUGAAAUACCGGGCAGUUGGGGAAACGACUUGCCCCUCAUGGUGACAAUCACGAGGGUAAAUUGCAGCUGCGGGGAAACAGAGAGUCAGGUUCAAUGGAGUGGUAAGUGCUGACAGCAGUGCUCUGUUGGAUGGAUACCAUAGGUUUCAAGAACAAGGGACAUUUAGAAUGUGAUAUGAGGAAGCUGAACAUAGGGAGAGGAAAUAGACAAUGAAGCACAAAGCGAUGAGAACAGAUCCCUCUCCACAGAAAUUUUCUUACACCUUUUUGGUGUAUUUUAUGGUUCUAUUGUCAAUCACAGCAUGUCAGAGAAAACAUAUCAAACAAAGUUAAUAUUACAUGAUAAGUAACAGGUAAGACUGCAGAAAUGUUAUUCAUUUUAUGGGUUUAAAGUCUCGUUUUACAUGAUGUAUUUUUCGAAACGAGUUGGCUGCAGAAAUCAGACAGAACAAAAUGUUAUUUCGUAUUAAGUAACUGAGUACGCUUCAUUUAAUAAUGUAAUUGAAAACAUAAUGCCAUUGACAACUGAAUA
rnacentral:lncRNA from 1 species